GACGAACGCUGGCGGCGUGCCUAAUACAUGCAAGUAGAACGAGCGGCGGACGGGUGAGUAAAGUCUGGGAAACUGCCCGAUGGAGGGGGAUAACUACUGGAAAAGGUAGCUAAUAUCCCAUACCAUCUGAUGUGCCCAGAUGGGAUUAGCUAUGAGGUGGGGUAACGGCUCACCGAGGCGACGCUCCCUAGCUGGUCUGUGAGGAUGACCAGCCAACAUGGACCUGAGACACGGUCCAGACUCCUACGGGAGGCAGCAGGGGGGAAUAUUGCACAAUGGGUGCAAGCUCGAUGCAGCCAUGCCGCGGGUGUGAAGAAGGCCUUGGGGUUGUAAAGCACUUUCAGCGAGGAGGCGUUACCCGCAGAAGAAGCACCGGCUAACUCCGUGCCAGCAGCCGCGGUAAUAC
rnacentral:rRNA from 1 species